AUGGCGUUUCUGGGAGGAUCAUUGCGCGUGACGAGAAGCAUUGGCAGCCGGAAGACGACGAAGGGGAAGAGCCACGGCGGGUCGGGGUCGUGGCGGCAGGCGCCGGCUCCCGUGAGAGAGCUGUUCUGGAGGGUGAGGCGCGUCGUGCUACGGCCAAAGCGCCGCGCCGUGAGCUUUGGGUACGACCUCAAGAGCUACUCCCAGAACUUCGAUGAUGGCCUCGUCCCUGCCCAUCGCCUCUAG
rnacentral:rRNA from 1 species